rnacentral:lncRNA from 1 species
AUGGAAGGCCUGCCCCUCUCUAUCGUUUUUAUCAUCUUCAUUAGCCUCUCUGUCACCAUCCUUAGCCUCAGGGAAGAGUGGUUUUCUUACAGCAGGAGGAGUUUUGCUGGUGUUCUCGGAAACAGCUGUUUCUCAAGUAGGCCACCCAUGGGCUGCAUGGAAGAAAUGGCUUUAAUUUAUAAUCAACUUCAUUACGGGCCCACUUCAGAGAGCCCAGCUGGAACUCCAUGGGUGCUCAGGACUGAUCAGUGGCUCUGCACAGCCAGCUCCUUCCCAGCACCAAACCCAUCAUGCCAGUAACUAACUUGGAUGCUUUCAAAGAGCCUACCUACUUCCUACAUUAUUUUAUUGACUCUUCUCUCAACCCAGGAAGUCACUUGGUGGGGCUCACUCCAAGCUCACAGGUAAGAGACAGAGGUAUACAGAGGUGCACAACUAGCAAUGGUGGGGAAAUGGUGGGGACCCAGCUUGUCCUAUUUGCCUAUGUAGCACUGGUCCGGAGCAAGGGCCUUCUGCCAGUGGGGGGAAUCUGUGCUUGAGGUCACCUCAUGGAGCACAAAGUAGCUGGAACGGGGAGGGGAGACUACCAGGUGCCUGGCCAGAGGACCUGAUUUUUACAGAUCAUAUAAAAAAAAGUAUAUAGAUUUACCAUGCUUCUGAAACUCACUCCCUUUUUGCUGAACAUUUAAGCUAUUUUCAAUUUAGAGAUAUCAUCAUUUACCUAUUAAACUAGUAAAAAAAGAAUUCUUUCAGGACCUUAGAAGCAAUUACAUGUAUAUUGCUGAUGGCUCCAUAAAUUGGUCCAGUUUUUCAAGAGAACAAUCCAGUAAUGUUUAAAAGCUGUAAAAUUAUUCCUACCCUUUGACCCAAUAAUUCCACUUCUGAGAAUAUACUCCAAGGAAAUAGCUUAAAAGAGGAAAAAAAAAAGAGAAAGUAAUUUGUACUUAGUUGCUCUUAGAAAUGCUAUUUAUAAAAAUUGGAAGCAACUGAAAUGCCCAGCCUUCGGGGUUUGGCUUAAAACCCAUGGUGUAUUUACAUUCUAGAAUAUUACAGAACUUUAAAAAAUGACGAAUACGGGAACCAUGUCAAAGCACGGACAAGUACACACAUAUGAAAUAAUGAUACCUGGAGAAGAAAGUAAGUAUGUUUGUAUGCAUUUUAUAAUAACAUAGGCCAAUAUUUGUUCAAUGAAUUGAUAAAGGUUAGAUGUAAGUUGGCCUUGCUUUUAAUAUUCAUUAAAUGGUUUAAGCUUACAGUAAAAAUAAAAUGAGUCCUUUUUUACUCAUAGAUGAAG